rnacentral:rRNA from 1 species
AUUGAACGCUGGCGGCAGGCCUAACACAUGCAAGUCGAGCGGGGUCUUCGGACCUAGCGGCGGACGGGUGAGUAAUGCGUAGGAAGCUACCCGAUAGAGGGGGAAACCAGUUGGAAACGACUGUUAAUACCGCAUAAUGUCUACGGACCAAAGUGUGGGACCUUCGGGCCACAUGCUAUCGGAUGUGCCUACGUGGGAUUAGCUAGUUGGGGAGGUAAUGGCUCACCAAGGCGACGAUCCCUAGCUGGUUUGAGAGGAUGAUCAGCCACACUGGAAAUGAGACACGGUCCAGACUCCUACGGGAGGCAGCAGUGGGGAAUAUUGGACAAUGGGCGCAAGCCUGAUCCAGCCAUGCCGCGUGUGUGAAGAAGGCCUUCGGGUUGUAAAGCACUUUCAGUAAGGAGGAAGCGUUGAGUGUUAAUAGUACUCAGCGUUGACGUUACUUACAGAAGAAGCACCGGCUAACUCUGUGCCAGCAGCCGCGGUAAGAC